rnacentral:lncRNA from 1 species
ACUUCACUUGGGACUAGAGUGAAGCAGCUUCACAGUGGUUCUGAAAAGGAGCUUCCAGGGCACUCUUCCCAAAAUGGACAUCCUGCUCCAAGCCUAGAUCCAGGCUUCACACCCUCUCUCUGGGCUCUGGGGAUCAGAGAAACCCAGGCGUGCCAGGAGGAGUUCAGCUGAUCAAGCUUUGAGAACAGUUUCUGCCCCAUAUGAAGAUUGGGCUUGGCUGUCCCCACCCUAUCCUCAAAAGAAACAGACAAACAAACAAACAAAAACCGUAUAGCAAGUGGGUUCUUCUGUCAAGUGGGUAAUUUAUUCUCAAGUACCAAGCAAAUGUUCUGCAGAUAACCAGCCGAAAACCCAACCAGGGCAAGGGGAAGACUUGUUAAAGAGGAAUGUCGGAGAAGGAUCUCAGGAAAUAUUUGGCAAGAAGCCUCUUGCAGAAAAGAGAUCCCCAGUCAUGAAUGAGCAGCCGACUAGAGUGCUCACAGAGAACCUCAUCCCCAAGCUCAGCUCAGUCCCCACAUCAAGGACGGAAUCACUCUGCCUGGAGGAACUGGUUCAGAAAGAGCCUCAGGGGGAGGAUACACACAGGAGGGGAGUUUCCCUUAAAAACAAAAGCAAAUAAGUUUUCUGUUGUUAUUAUUGUUUUUCCCCUCUUAUCUCCCUCUGACUGGACAGUAACCUCACACCACAUGCCUUCCAGCGAACACUCAUUACCCAGUAAAUCAUGUGACCCCUUCUGUUUACUUAGAGGUGCUUGCCCAACUGGGGCCUCUCAUCCAGACCAUUUCGGUAACCAGUAACCCGCUUCAGAGUGGUUUUCACUGGAAAGGGAACUUCUGGGCAACAGAUAAGGCAACUUAUUCAUUUGCAUAGAGGAACCCUGGAGUGACUCAUUUGCAUGGAGUUUUUCCCUGCGCUGCUGGGAGAAGCCAUGAACCCUCAGACAGAUUAUGAAACUGCCAAAAAAUGUCUUUAGAGAAUACCAGCCCUAUUUUCUACACAAUAUGGAGUGUCUAUAGAAAAUCUCCUUCCAAAAUUAAUACUAGGUUCCUUUUCAAAACUGUAAUGCUUCAAAUUCUGGAAUCAUUGAAAUGCAAAUGUAAAUAUUUUUGCUGAAUGCUUUAGCAAAACCUCUGAUAACAGUUUUAACUCUGAUUUUUUUUUAAAAAAAGAAAAAAAUGGCUACUUAAAAUGAAAAGAAGGUGGAGAUUGCUUUUGAAGAGAUGAAAUGCCUGGCCCUGAGUCCAAAGAAGUAUAUCUCUAAGUGGACCUGGGAACUUCCAAGGUCAGAAUCUCCUGGGCUGAGCACUGAGGAAGUUCCCCAGGCCCUACCCCAGGCCUGAAAAAUUAGAAUUGCAAUAAAAUUGGGCUUCAGAAAAUAUGCUAGAGACAAACCACGAAAACAAAAAGUAUAGCCACAAGAGAGUUCCCUGGUGGCCUAGUGUUAAGACAUUUUCACAGCUGUGACACAGGUUCAGACCCUGGCCUGGGAACUUCUGCAUGCUGUAGUCAUGGCCAAAAAAUUACUAUUUUUUUCUUUUUAUGGCCGCACCUAUGGCAUAUGGAAGUUCCCAGGCCAGGGGUUGAAUUAGAACUGUAGCUGCCCGCCUGCACCACAGCUACAGCAAUGUGGGAUCUGAGCCACACCUACACCAAAGCUUGCAGCAAUGCCAGAUCCUUAACCCACUGAUCCAGCCCAGGAAUCGAACUCAUCUCCUCAUGGGUAUUAGUCAGGUUCUUAACCCUCUGAGCCAUGACAAGAACUUCCCAAAAGAUUAAUAAAUAAAUAUAAGAGUGAAUUUAAAAAAAUUAUAGCCCCCUGGAGUUCCCAUCAUGGCUCAGUGGUUAAUGAAUCCAAUUAGGAAGCAUGAGGUUGUGGGUUUGGUCCCUGGCCUCGCUCGGUGGGUUAAGGAUCUGGCGUUGCCUGCUGUGAGCUGUGGUGUAGGUCACAGAGGUGGCUCGGAUCCUGUGUUGCUAUGGCUGUGGCAUAGGCUGGUGGCUACAGCUCUGAUUAGACCCCUAGCCUGGGAACCUCCAUAUGCUGUGGGUGCAGCCCUAGAAAAGACGAAAAAGACAAAAAAAAAAAAAAAAAAAAAAAAAAAAAUAGUUAUAGUCACCGAAGAACUCUUCAGGUGAAAUGUUAUACUUACUGAUAUGUGACAACUGUGCUUCUAAAAACACCGUUUUGAAGACCUUUUCAGUCUACUCACUGGCUAGUUUUUCAAGGUAAAUAGGCAUUUUAUUCAGCUUUUUAAAAAAAGUCCUUAUCCCCUAGGAUUGGCCUUGCAGGACAGAUGUCUUGUAAUAUGACUAGGGAGUGCUGGAAACAUAUCAAUAUAGCAGAUGUGUGUCUGUGCAAAUCCUGAAAGCAGCAGGGUGGGUGCAGAAACUGGAGAGGUGAACUGAGUCCUGUAGGCAGGUAUUCAACCAAACGGUUGAUUCCAAUUUAUAGAUGCCAUUUUAAAGCCUGUACAGCCCUCAGGACCCAGUUUCUCACCUCUGACUAAAUGAAUUGGGAACAGAAUCCAGUCAUAGAUCAGAGCUGCAUAUGAUGAAAACCUUGAGAAUCUUGGAAGCAAGGUCACUGCAGCAUUACUGCUACUCAAGAACUUCCUAUAGUCCCCUGAAUAAAAUUAGGGUUCUAUCAGCAGAGAACUGUUCACUGGCUGCAGGACAGGUUAUGGAGAGCAGACAAGAUCUCUGCCAAGGGGAUGGAUCAUGCAUGAUGUUUGGUUAGGGAGUUCCUUCCUAAUGGCCAAGAAUAAAUAGCCUGCCCUAGAGAAAAGUUCAUCUGAUUUUAGAAAAUGAAAAAGUAAUAUUUCUUAUCUGAGUGUUUUAUUUCAUUUUCUGGAAGUAGCAUUCUUGCCUUCCUGUUCUAAUGGUAGAAGUUUGGUUUAUCUCUUAGAACUUGGGACAUCUGAGUAACCUGCAGGCUUGCCAGAAAGGUCCUUCCUUUGGAAGUCUCCAGCAGGCCCUCCCUGCUCAUUUUUUCCAUCUACCCCUCUGCUGCAAGAAGUGUAUGUUUGUCUGGGCAUGCACACAUGCAUUGGCAUUUUUCACCAAGGAGUUUCUAGAAAUAUCUAAGUGAGUUUCUGAAAUGUCCAAGCUGGAUGUUUUUUCUUUUUUUUCCUGAAGUGAAUAAAGCCUGAGCAGGAG